CUUCGUCGAACAGCUGCGGGCAAAUGAAGUGGACGUGGGUGUCGACCCCCCCCGCUGUCACAACCAAACCCUCGCCGGCAAUCACUUCAGUAUUGACGCCCACGACCAUGUCGUCCUGUACUCCAUCCAUCACGUCCGGGUUUCCCGCCUUUCCAAUCGCCCAAAUGACCCCGUGUUUGAUUCCAAUGUCUGCCUUGUACACGCCCGUGUAGUCGACAAUGACGGCGUUCGUGAUGACAGUGUCGAGCACUUGGUCGGCAUGGCAUCCCGUGGCUUGCCCCAUGCCCUCCCGAAG
rnacentral:sRNA from 1 species